UAAGUUUCAUUCUGACAUGAAGUUGGAGAAAUUAUUCUGUUUGUAGGUUUGUUUUUUAAUUUUUUCAAAAAGGUUUGUUAUCAGUAGAUCUUCCUUCACGCUUGAAUACAUCUCCGAGGAAUUUUUUUACCUAUUGUAUCAAUUUAUUCAAGUCUAGGUUCUAGUAGAACACUAUUUGGAGGCUUUUCAGAGAUAUUUUAGCUUUGUCGUUCAGGUAGAUUAGGCUUAUCAUAUAUUUAGAUUGAGUUUAUUUACUGAAAUUGUGUAAUAAUAUGCUAGUUUUUGGAUAAGUAAUUGUAGUUGCAUAUAUAUAUAUAUAUAUAUAUANNNNNNNNNNNNNNNNNNNNNNNNNNNNNNNNNNNNNNUAUAUAUAUAAACAUACCUUAUUUAUCCGAAUUAGGACCCCGUUCUAGUAAAUUUUGGUAUUUUAUCUUUCAAUAUACUAUAGCGUCUAUCACUUUAGGACGUGGAAUUAAAUUGCAAAAUUAUGAAUUUGCUCCUUUUAAAUUAAGACAUACGUACGGUAAUUAGACGUGUUUUAGCUUCUAUUCAGGUUUAGUAUAUAUUUUAUUUCUGUCAUUGAUUGUGAAUUUUGGUACCACGUUGACAUUGUUAUGGUAUGGUAUGAAUUUUAAUAUUACAGUUGGGUAUGAUUACUUUGAGUUCUGGUUUGAUUCCGACAUCUUAUUAUAGUGUGGUUCAUUUGAGUUUCGGUUCGAGUCCGGUAUCUGAUUAUGGUUGUAAAUCCUUUGAGUUCCGAUUUGAGUUCGGCAUCUGAUUAUGAGUUCAAGUGUAUAUUAUAUAUGUGGCCUCUCGUUAUUACCCACUAUGUCCGAUUCGAAUUUGGCACGUGUCCUCUUGUUAUUAUCCACCACUAUCGGUUUGAGUCUGGUGUCUGUCCUCUCGUUACUACCUAUUGGUACCGGUUCAAGCCAGUUGCAUAUCUGGAUGACUACUAUGAUUUGUUGGGAUUGAUUUAGUUAUGAAUUAUUUAUGUUUAUUUUUGUUAAUUACUUAUUAUGUGUCCCACCGGCUAAUGGGGGUACGGUUGGGUUAAUUGUCUUCUUUAGUGUGCCUAGCAGGCUUAUGUGGCCUAGUUAGGUUAUGUUUAAUUUGUCUGUUAUUGCUGCAUUACUUAUUUUCUAUAUGACUUAUAUUUAUUCCUUUAAAGCAUUUGCGUAACUUGGUAGUUGUUUACCUUUCCAUUCCUAUUUACGGAUGACUCAGAUUACGCCCUUGCAUUGUAGUUAUACCUUUUCUGUAUUGAGCUCAGUCGGCCGAUGAUGCCUACUGAUAUCCGUUGCUUUGCUACUCAUACUACACUUCUGCAUCUUUUUCCUGAUGAAGAUCCGAGUAGUAGCAGUCGACAUUGACGUGAUUCCUACCUUCCAGUACUGAUUCAGAGCAGGGUGAGCUUACUGUCAUCCGAGGCUGAUCCUCCUCUAUUUACUCCAGUUUAGUCUUUUGUACUCGAGAUUGCUUGUAUAUAUUAGGUAUAUUUUGAAUUUUGUCUAGUUCUCUGGGUAUAUUUUAGUAGUGGCUCUAGUACUGACCUUACCAGGUCUUAGGAGGGAUUCAUUUGUGUAUUUGGUCCUUUUUCUUUUC
rnacentral:lncRNA from 1 species